GCCCAAGUGGCGGAACGGUAUACGCGGUCGGCUCAAACCCGGCUGGCUGAAAGGCCAUAGGGGUUCGAUUCCCCUCUUGGGCA
rnacentral:tRNA from 1 species